GUCAAAUCAUGUUAAAAUACAACAUUAAAUAAAUGCAAAGAGCCCAGAACAAAGAAAGUGAUUAAGCUGGUUUAACUGCAUUCAACCCACUAUGCUAAAUCCCCGUAGGGGGCUCUAGUUAAACAACAAAUUUAGUUUCUUGGCCUAAAUCCUUUUCUUCAAAGAAGAAAUUUUUCUUGUACAGCAAGCAAGUUCUUCUAAUGCCUGGUCCUCAGGGAAGCCUACAGAGAGAGGCAAUUCGGGAAAUCCUGGUUUAGAGCAGAGCUGCUUCUUAGUAGCUCCCUAUGGAAGAGGGAUUCUUGCAAAUGACAUGACAUCACAGGCGCACAACUUGGGCCAGAGUGAGGACUGCUGCUUCUCCCUCUUGUAGUACUCUGAUCUGGGAGGUCCAUGGACUACAGUAUUAGCAAGACUGGAAGAACAACAACACACUCAUACCAGAGCCAAUUGGAACCAACCUACUCGUUUCCACCCCCAGCCCCUCUGUAGCUUCAUUUCAAUGUUGUUAAAUUUCAGGGCAGAAAGUGAUAAUUUGGAAAAGUGCCAAAACUGAC
ensembl:lncRNA